rnacentral:rRNA from 1 species
AUUGAACGCUGGCGGCAUGCCUUACACAUGCAAGUCGAACGGUAACAGGCCGCAAGGUGCUGACGAGUGGCGAACGGGUGAGUAAUACAUCGGAACGUGCCCGAGAGUGGGGGAUAACGGAGCGAAAGCUUUGCUAAUACCGCAUACGAUCUACGGAUGAAAGCAGGGGACCGCAAGGCCCUUGCGCUCAUGGAGCGGCCGAUGGCAGAUUAGGUAGUUGGUGGGUAAAGGCUCACCAAGCCAACGAUCUGUAGCUGGUCUGAGAGGACGACCAGCCACACUGGAACUGAGACACGGUCCAGACUCCUACGGGAGGCAGCAGUGGGGGAAUUUUGGACAAUGGACGCAAGUCUGAUCCAGCAAUGCCGCGUGCAGGAGAAGGCCUC